GAUGAACGCUGGCGGCGUGCUUAACACAUGCAAGUCGAACGAAGAUGCCGGAGUGCUUGCACUUUGGCAGACUGAGUGGCGGACGGGUGAGUAACGCGUGGGUAACCUGCCUCACACAGGGGGAUAACAGUUGGAAACGGCUGCUAAUACCGCAUAAGCGCACAGUACCGCAUGGUACAGUGUGAAAAACUCCGGUGGUGUGAGAUGGACCCGCGUCUGAUUAGCUAGUUGGGCAGGGCAACGGCCUACCAAGGCGACGAUCAGUAGCCGACCUGAGAGGUGACCGGCCACAUUGGGACUGAGACACGGCCCAAACUCUACGGGAGGCAGC
rnacentral:rRNA from 1 species